GUAAAGGCCUGAUUCCACGGGAGCUUUUUCUCGGCGAAAUGCGAAAUAUUUCGCACGAAAUGAAAUCGUGCAUGCGCAGUAAAGAUAAAUUAGGCUUCGCGAGAAAAAAUUUCGCUUCGCCAGUGAGUAGAAGUCCGUUCUACUCACUGCGAAAGCGAAAAAAGAGUGCAAAUUCAAUAGAAUCACUCAUGUGCAGCCAUCCAUCAUAUUUCGGCAUUUCGCACACACGAUUUCGUGCGAAGAAUUUCGCCGUCGUGGAAUCAG